UCACCAGCCACAGAAACAGCAGGUUGGAUGACAGAACUGGUAUUUCAUUCAUUCGCUGGAGUAUAUGCUGCUUCUUCAUUCGGAGUUACAAGGCUAUGCUGAUUCCAGAGCGGACAUUUCUCUUAUUUAGUGUUCCAGGAAAGUUUGUUUCCUGGUUACUUCUAGUUGACAUAUUAUUUGUAUAGGAACUGGAAACUCUCCAAAGAGGUUUUAGGCAAUUAUUUACAUAACGGGAAUGAACCGCAGAUGCCUGAAGAAAAUAUAUUCUUUUCAUGUCCCAAAAUUUGGACCUUUGUCUCACAUGCGGUCUUACUUUUUGCCUCAGUCAGCACACCUCAUAUGCUUAGGAAAAUCUCAGGGAUCAUCCGGGCCUUGUCUUAUGUGUCAUCUGGUUUUCAGUUGCCUGAUGCAGCCAAUGGGGUGACCACCAUUACUGCAAAACCCUUGCAAUGCACCUGCUAAGACUGGUACCCGUCCAGAAGUAGUGACCUGACCCUCUCCCAUUUAGUUAGGUAUUCAGAAAAAUACCCAGUGAUUUACGCUGCCAAUGAAAGCAGUGGUAUGUAAUGAAUGGCUAAUCCUUGUAAUAUACUGCUUCUAUAUGAUCUACAGAGCAAAAUUUAUUUGAAGAAAUGACUUGKCAAAAAAUUUUUGAAAAAUUAAUACAUCUGAAAAAAUUGUUAUGACAAAACUUAACAGAAAGUUAAGAUUGAAAUAACUUACCAGGUUUUACUUUGGAAAUUUAUUCAUCCAAGAUUGCUUUAUUUCAUGGCUCUGU
rnacentral:lncRNA from 1 species